CAACGAGGAGAAGCUUGCUUCUCUGUCGGCGAGUGGCGAACGGGUGAGUAUAGCAUCGGAACGUGCCAAGUAGUGGGGGAUAACCAAACGAAAGUUUGGCUAAUACCGCGUAAGCUCUAAGGAGGAAAGUAGGGGACCUAAAUAAGGCCUUACGCUAUUUGAUCGGCCGAUGUCGGAUUAGCUAGUUGGUGGGGUAAUGGCUCACCAAGGCAAUGAUCCGUAGCGGGUCUGAGAGGACGAUCCGCCACACUGGGACUGAGACACGGCCCAGACUCCUACGGGAGGCAGCAGUGGGGAAUUUUGGACAAUGGGGGAAACCCUGAUCCAGCCAUGCCGCGUGUAUGAAGAAGGCCUUAGGGUUGUAAAGUACUUUUGUUAGGGAAGAAAAGCUAGUUUUUAAUAAAAAUUAGUGAUGACGGUACCUAAAGAAUAAGCACCGGCUAACUACGUGCCAGCAGCCGCGGUAAUACGUAGGGUGCAAGCGUUAAUCGGAAUUAUUGGGCGUAAAGCGAGUGCAGACGGUUACUUAAGCCAGAUGUGAAAUCCCCAAGCUUAACUUGGGACGUGCAUUUGGAACUGGGUGACCAGAGUGUGUCAGAGGGAGGUAGAAUUCCACAUGUAGCGGUGGAAUGCGUAGAGAUGUGGAGGAAUACCGAUGGCGAAGGCAGCCUCCUGGGAUAACACUG
rnacentral:rRNA from 1 species